rnacentral:rRNA from 1 species
GACGAACGCUGGCGGCGUGCUUAACACAUGCAAGUCGAACGAAGUGGCGAACGGGUGAGUAACGCGUAAUCAACCUGCCCUUCAGAGGGGGACAACAGUUGGAAACUACUGCUAAUACCGCAUACUGAAGGAGGGGCUUGCGUCUGCUUAGCUAGUGGGAGGGGUAACGGCCCACCAAGGCGAUGGUCAGUAGCCGGUAGGAGGGGAUGAGCGGCCACAUUGUGAGUGAGACAGGGCCCAGACUCCUACGGGAGGCAGCAGUGGGGAAUCUUCCGGCAUGGACGAAAGUUUGACGGAGCAACGCCGCGUGAGUGAUGACGGCCUUCGGGUUGUAAAGCACUGUUAAUCGGUACGCGGUACCGGAAUAGAAAGCCACGGCUAACUACGUGCCAGCAGCCGCGGUAAUUC